AUUAAGCCAUGCAUGUMUAAGUACAAACCGAAAUUAAUGGYGAAACCGYGAAUGGCUCAUUAAACCAGUCGUAACCUACAGGAUAUCGAUCCCGUCUCGUUGGAUAACUUUGGUAAUUCUAGAGCUAAUACAUGCAACUAAGCUCCGAUCCUCGUCGUUCGCGGCGAGGGAAGGGCGCAUUUAUUAAACCCAAAAACCGAUUAGCCAACGCGCGGCGAAGCGUCGAAGUACGCGCCCGCGCGCCGGACUGGGGACUCUGAAUAACGGAUGCCGAGCGCUUCGGUCGAUAUACUCGAUCGGCGCCGUAUCCUUCGGGCGACUGCCCUAUCAGCUCAAUCGUAAGGUAUUGGCUUACGACGGCGAUAACGGGUAACGGGGAAUCAGGGUUCGAUUCCGGAGAGGGAGCCUGAGAAACGGCUACCACAUCUAAGGAAGGCAGCAGGCGCGCAAAUUACCCAAUCCCGGGUCGGGGAGGUAGUGACGAAAAAUACAGAAUGCGAGUCUCUCGCGAGGCUUCGGCAUCUGAUUGAGUUUAAACUAAAAACUUGGACGAGCGUCCAUCGGAGGGCAAGUCUGGUGCCAGCAGCCGCGGUAAUUCCAGCUCCGAUAGCGUAUAUUAAAAUUGCUGCGGUUAAAAAGCUCGUAGCUGGACUUUGCGCGCGGCCGAACUGACGCAAUUGCGAGCCGCGACUCGACGAAGUUCCAGUCUCGCAAGUCAAACUCGGUCCGCCGAAUUGAGCCGUCGCGCCAGGCGCGGUAUGAGAGCUGAGCUCUCGACUCGCGCCUAGCGACGUCGGCAUUUUCACUUUGAAUAAAUAARAGUGCUCAAAGCGGGCGCCUCAUGUCAACGCCAAAACGAUACGUGCAUUGAACGAUACCGAAAAAGACCUCGAUCCCGCCGUUGUUUCGAUCGGUUUUAGGGGAUUACGAGGUAACGAUUAAGAGAAGCGGCCGGAGGUGAGCGUAUUGCGACGCGAGAGGUGAAAUUCGUUGACCGUCGCAMGACGAUCCGAGGCGAAGGCGCUCGUCGAGAACGUUUUCAUUAGUCAAGAACGAAAGUCAGAGGAUCGAAGGUGAUUAGAUACCGCCCUAGUUCUGACCGUAAACUAUGCUACCUGACAAUCCGCCGAUGUCGUUCCCUAKACUCGGCGGGAAGUCCCCGGGAAACCAAAGUUUUCGAGCUCCGGGGGAAGUAUGGUUGCAAAAGUGAAACUUAAAGGAAUUGACGGAAGGGCACCACCAGGAGUGGAGCCUGCGGCUUAAUUUGACUCAACACGGAGAAGCUUACCGAGACCGGACGCUGAAAGGAUUGACAGAUUGAGAGCUCUUUCUCGAUUUASCGGUAGGUGGUGCAUGGCCGUUUCAGGUUGGUGGUGCGAAUUGUCUGGUUGAUUCCGAUAACGAGCGAGACUCUGCCUUACUAAAUAGUCGACGAACGAACGCGCUCCUUUCGACGCGACCUGGCCAUUUCGUCUCUCGAGCGAUAGGGGGGCCGUCCGCGGUCGGGCUCGUUGCGCUGCCCGCAUUCGACGCGCUACACGUAGCGCGAGUGGCAGACCUCGACGCGCGAGUUUCGUCGCCGCGGCGGCUUUACUCGUUGAAGCUAGUGAGCGAAUGAGAAGCCAAGGUCGCGAAGCGUUCGUCGCAUUUUGAGCCUAAGUAUUGAGCCAGCAUGGCUGCUCUUUCGGCUCUCUCUUCUUARAGUGAUCGGCGGGCGACGAAUAUAAGAAUAGCCGCACGAAACAGAGCAAAAACAGGUCUGUGAUGCCCUUAGAUGUCCCGGGCCGCACGCGCGCUACAAUGGUCGGUUCAACGUGUGCACAGUCCUCCUCCGAAAGGAGCGGGUAAUCACCGGAAAGCCGCANAUAGCGUGUACGGUUUGCGUCGUUCGCGUCGCAAACAUCUCGAGGCCUCGGUAGGAACUGGGGAUUGCAAUUAUACCCCACGAACGUGGAAUUCCCAGUAGUCGCGAGUCACCAGCCCGCGUCGAUUGAGUUUCUGCCCUUUGUACACACCGCCCGUCGCUACUACCGAUUGAGUGAUCGAGCGA
rnacentral:rRNA from 1 species